GUGAAUCAUCGAAUCUUUGAACGCACCUUGCGCUCCUUGGUAUUCCUUGGAGCAUGCCUGUUUGAGUAUCAUGAAAUUCUCAGAAUAAAUCUUUUGGUCACUCGAUUGAUUUUAUUUUGGACUUGGAGGUCUGCAGAUUCACGUCUGCUCCUCUUAAAUUCAUUAGCUGGAUCUCUGUGAGCUCGGUUCCACUCGGCGUGAUAAGUAUCACUCGCUGAGGACACUGUAAAAAGUGGCCGGGGUUGUAGUUAGAACCGCUUCUAAUAGUCCAUUGGCUUGGACAAUUUAUUUAUGAUCUGAUCUCAAAUCAGGUAGGACUACCCGCUGAACUUAAGCAUAUCAAUAAGCGGAGGAAAAGA
rnacentral:rRNA from 1 species